rnacentral:rRNA from 1 species
UACGGGGGGAGCAAGCGUUGUUCGGAUUUACUGGGCGUAAAGGGCGCGUAGGCGGUCAGCACAAGUCAGUUGUGAAAUCUCCGGGCUUAACCCGGAAAGGUCAACUGAUACUGUGCGACUAGAGUGCGGAAGGGGCAACUGGAAUUCUCGGUGUAGCGGUGAAAUGACGUAGAUAUCGAGAGGAACACCUGCGGCGAAGGCGGGUUGCUGGGCCGACACUGACGCUGAUGCGCGAAAGCCAGGGGAGCGAACGGG